UUUUUUUUUUUUGUCUUUUUGUCAUUUCUUGGGCUGCUCCCGCGGCAUAUGGAGGUUUCCAGGCCAGAGGGGUCGAAUCGGAGCUGUAGCUGCCAGCCUACACCAGAGCCACAGCAAUGCAGGAUCCGAGCCGCAUCUGCAACCUACACCACAGCUCACUGAAACGCCAGAUCUUUAACCCACUGAGUGAGGCCAGGGAUCAAACCCACAACCUCAUGGUUCCUAGUCUGAUUCGUUAACCACUGAGCCAUGAUGGGAACUCCUAAAGUUUUUAUUUCUAUGUUCCUCUCUAUAUUCUUAAUUUUGGAUCACAAUUCCUUCAUGAUAAUAUUUAUCAUUUAUUUUUUCCAGCUUUUUUGAGAUAUGUGACAUAUGACAUUGUGUAAAUUUAAAAUGUAGAGUGUGUUCAUGUGAUACACGUAUAUUGCAAUAUGAUAACCAUCCUACUGUCUCCCACACCUCUUAAACUUACUGUUUCUCCUUUGCAUUGAAAACAUUUACAAUAUACUCUCUUAGCAACUUCCAAGUGUAUAAUACAGUAAUGUUAACUAUAAUCACAAUGCUGGUCAUUAGAGUCUCAGAAAUUCUUCAAUUUCUAAUUAGAAGUUUGCACUCUUUCAUCAACAUCUUUCCAUUUUCCCUACCUCCCUACCUGGUAAUCACCAUUCUACUCUCUGUUUCUGUGAGUUCAUUUUUUUUUUUUAGAUUCCACAUAUAAGUGAUAUCAUACAAUAUUUGUCUUCUCUGACUUAUUUCACUUAGCAUAAGGCCUUCUAAAACCAUCCAUAUUGUUGCAAAUGACAGAGUUUCCUUCUUUCUCAAGGCUGCAUAAUAUUCAUACACUGUGAAUGAUAGAUACUACAAAGAACACAAAGUGCAUAUAUCUUUGAGAUCCUGUUUUAAUUCCUUUUGGUUAUGUACUCCAUAGUGGGAUUGCAGAAUAAUUUGGUAGUUUUAUUUUUAGUUUUGGAGGAAACUCCAAAUUGUUUUCCAUAGUAUGAAUACCAAUUUACAUUUCAAUGAACAGUGUAUAAAAGCUCCCUUUUCUCCACAUCCUCACCAAUGUUUAUUAUCUCCUGUCUUUUUGAUGAUAGUCAGUCUAACAGGUAUGAGGUAAUAACUCGUGGUAUCGAUUUACAUCUCCCUGAUAAUUAGUAGUGUUGAGCACUUUUUCCUGGACCUAUUUACAAUUUGUAUGUCUUCUUUGGAAAAAUGUCUAUUCAUUUAUUCUUCUCAUUUAAAAAUCAGAUUGUAUUUUUCUACUGAAUUUAUGAAUGUUUUAUAUAUUAUGAAUAUUAACCCCUUAUCAGAUAUAUGCUUUGCAAAUCUUUUCUUCCAUUCCUUAGGUUCCCUCUUCAUUUUGUUGAUCAUUUAUUUUGCUGUAUGGAAGCUUUUUAGUUUGAUGUAGCUUACUUGUUUAUUUUUGUUUUCAUUGUUUGUGUCAUUGGUGGUAAGAUAUCCAAAAAAUGUCAUUUUCAAGACCAAUGUCUGGAGUUCCUGUCAUGGCUUAGUGGUUAAUGAACUUUACUAGUAUCCAUGAGGAUGCGAGUUCGGUCCCUGGCCUUGCUCAAUGGAUUAAGGAUCCGGCAUUGCUGGGAGCUGUGCUAUACGUCACAGAUGCAGCUCAGAUCUCGUGUUGCUGUGGCUGUGGUGUAGGCUGGCAGCUACAGCUCCUAUUCGAGCCUUAGCCUGGGAACCUCCAUAUGCCGCAGGUGCAGCCCUAAAAACCAAAAAAAAAAACACAAUGUCAAGGAGUUUUUUCCCCUAUGUUUUCUUCCAGGAGUUUUAUGAUUUCAGGACUUACAAUUAAGUCUUCAACUCAUUUUGAGUUAAUUUUAGUAUGUGGUGUAAGAUAGAGGUCAGAUUUUACUUUAAUGCAUGUGGUUAUCCAGUUUUCCUCUCACUAUUUAUCAAAGAUACUAUCUUUUCCCCAUUGACUAUUACUGGCUAUAUUGUCAUAUAUUAGUAUGAAUUNAUUUUUUUUUUUUUUUUUUUUUUUUUUUUUUUUUUUUUUUUUUUUUUUUGCUUUUAGGGCUGCACUUGUGGCAUAUGGAAGUUCUCAGGUUAGGGCUGCCAGCCUACACCAUAGCCACAGCAAUGCCAGAUCUGAGCUGCAUCUGUGAUGUACACCACAGCUCAUGGAAACACCAGAUUCUUAACACAUUGAGCAAGGCCAGGGAUCAAACCCACAACCUCAAGGUUCCUGGUCGGAUUUGUUUCCACUGUGCCACAACAGGAACUCCUGAAUUUUCAUUUCUUUGUUUCUUUGGGUGUAUCUAUUAGUUUCUAGCAAAUCAUAUCUUACACAUAAUUUUUUGGACAUGUCGCAUUUAACAUCCUCUUUGAGUCAGAGUCGAGAAUUCAUAAUUUGCUUCUUUCUGUGUGUUUUUAAACAAUCUACAGCUAAAGGAUAUUUUAUCAUUUUACUUUUGAAUUGUAUUAUAUAUAUAUAUAUAUAUACACAUAUAGGCUUUCCUAUUAUCAUUCAAUAAUUUAAACUUUAAAAUAUAAACAAAACUUAAUUGGACUUUGUGUAUAUUUAUCUUUUUGUACAGUUUAAAAAUUUAAACUGUGGCUAUAAAUUUACUGUCAAUUUAAAUGCUAUUCUGGUUGAUUUAAAAAUUAUGUGGAUUGCAAUACUAACAUUAGCUUAUUCUGUGGUAUGCUGAUUUUUAGGCAAGAUUAUUAUUUUAUUGACAGAUAAAAGAUAUUGAAAACUAUGGGUAUUUAAUAUUGAUUCCUUAAUAGCAUAUACACAAUUUAUUAUGACAAAUUAUGCACAUUUCCCCCUUGUAUUUGUAUUUUUAGAUUGAAUAUACUGUCAUAGGAAUUUGGAAUCCUUUUUAUUAAAAUUAUAUGCUAAUAUCUAUCUUUUCUCUUUCAUUAAAGAUUUAAUUUUAUUUAUUUUAAAAAAUGUUUUAAGGGUCGCACAUGUGGCAUAUGGAAAUUCCCAGGGGUCAGCUGCCGGCAUACAUCACAACCACAGCAACACCAGAUUUAAGCUGCAUCUGCAACCUACACCACCACUCACAGCAACGCUGGAUCCUUUAACCCACCGAGUGAGGCCAGAGAUCGAACCUGCAUCCUCAUGAAUACUAGGUGGGUUCUUAACCCACUGAACCACAAUGGGAACCCCCUAGAGAUUUAAUUUUAAAAGAUAAUUUAUUCAUAUUAAAACUUGAAACUUAAUUGAAUAGUUUGAAAUCUUGGAUUAUCUUGGGUAAUGAAGGACAAAAUAUGCCUACUUUUAAUAACUGUAGGCAAUUCAUAAAUUCACAUCCUUUUAUAUAAGUGCAUGUAGGCAUAUGUUACAAAUUUCCGGAUUUGUCAUUUCUUAUAUAGAUAUUUUAAUGAUGCAAAAUCAAAAUAUCAUGCAUAGACAUUUAAUCUGUGCAAAAUACAUUAUAGAAUUUAAAAAUAAAAGAUAAAGUAGAUUUGUUACCUCAGUCAAGAUGGUUCUUCGUGAUCCAAUUCCUCUGACAAUUUCUGUAGAUAAAAGGGAGCAUAAAUUGUGUUUUAAAUUGACCUGAACUCUUCGAUUGAGUAAAAGGUCUGAGAGAACCAAAAACUUAGAUAAGAUCAAGAUAGGGCUGCAAAUUCUACUGGGAAAAAUUAAAAAUCAUGGUAGGGAGAUUUCUGGCACAUCUUCUAUUCCUGGACCUCACUUGUACUCUACAAUUGGAAUUAGAGGGGGGAUAAUUUUUCAGACACUGAAUUCUGAUUGAUAAAUGUGAAAGGGCAUACUUUGAUGAAUUCAAAUCUAUUUUGUUAGAUAAAAUGAUAACAGGAAGUUUAAAGAACAGAGAAAAGUGAAAGAAAGGAAAAAGAUAACUUCGAAGCAAUAUGCACUCCAGAGAAUACACACGCUAAUGAAGGUGGAUAAGCAGCACAAUUUUCAUCAGAGAGCAUUAUUUUUUAUUAACUCUAUCAAAUUUUGCCAUUUUAUAUUUAAUCAUGACAUUAUGAUAUGUUGAGUUUGAGAAUACCUGCAUUCCAGCAAAGAGAGGCAAUUCAUGAUUUAUUAUUUCUGUGUGAUAAAAUAAAAUUCAAAUUUUUAAGUUUGCAGAAGAAAACUGAAUCUGAACAUUGGCUAUAGAAAUAUUUGCUACUCCAAGUUUAGUGCUGUCAUUUCUCUUUUAUCUUUGUAGGAGAAUUUAAAGCUCUUCUUGAAUAUCAGAGAAAGACACAUCUGAAUUUGAAUCUUAGUUUUGGAACUUGUGUGGCCAUGGAGAAAAUGAUCUCUCUGAAUCCCAGUUUUUUUCACUAGUAAAAUGUAGAUUAAAAAUAUCAAUCUAGUGGGAUUGAGAGAUUAGAGAUAAUGUUGAUAAAUUUGGGUCAUUUACCUUAUCUCUCCUUUUCUGUACUAAUUUUAAGGCAAAUGAUCAUAUGUGGAAGAUAACCCUCAAAAAAGAAAGCUCAACAUUUGUUCUCACCCUGCCAAUAUUCAUAAAGUGCAUGAUAGCCACUUAUGAGUAGUGUUGUUUCUCUACCAAGGUUUUCAGUAAGAAUUAAAUCUUCAUGCCAAGCAUUACCUAAAUGAACUCAUUUAUUUCCUGUGCAUCUGGAAUGGUAUUGGUUGUACAACAUUCUUAAGAGACUGAAAAAAGUAAUCACAUGAUUUUGAGGAGAAACAACAAUCAGGAAAGGCAGUGGCGUAUGUAUUUUGCUUAACUCAACAGUUUCCUAAAUGCCACAAAAUGUGUUUUGGGGGAGUCAUCAGACUAGAUCUUUGGACUGAUGUUAUUUAAUCUGAUAUAGUCAUCAGACUCUAUCUCUGGACUUUGCCGUAGUUCUGUGAUUUUAACUGCACAAUUCAAGUAAGUGAAAGAGAAUGUGUAACUGUCAACGGGAGAAUUAGAUGAUUUACCUAACAGAGAAGUAGUGUGAAACAUAUAUUUUAUAAAAAGUACCUGAUGAGAUUCUUAAGAAGAUCAUGUAUAUUCCAUGGAAUUUACACUAAAAAUUGUUGAAAUACAAUAUCCUUUUCACAUAAGCUUCAAAAACAUUUUUUUAAGGAAACUAGUUACAUAAAUAAUGGUACAGCUAUAAACGCAGUGUUAUUUAACAUUUGAAAAAUGAGGCAGAUCUGUAGUAUU
rnacentral:lncRNA from 1 species